UUUGAGGGGAAUGUUGUCUGGCUCGAGGUGCAUGCAGAAACCUUUGAUCAGGUUAAUUUGAUCUGUAGAUCGAUAUUGAUCUCGGACCAGGCUUCAUUCCCCUCAAG
rnacentral:pre_miRNA from 1 species